AAACUAGGAUUAGAUACCCUAUUAUUUUAGAGGUAAACAUUGUUAGUAAAUAAAAAUUACGAAAGCAAAAAAUUAUGGCGGUAUUUUAAGCUUUUCAGAGGAAUUUGCUCUUUAAUGGAUAAAACACCUAAAUCUUACUUAAAUUUGUAAAUUCAAUUUGUAUACCACUAUAAAAACAAUUAAUAACUUCAAUUGUUAAAAUUUAUUAAAUUAAGUUAUAUUAAGUCAAGGUGCAGUAAAAAUUUAAGAAUGAAGUGAAUUACAUUUCUUUUUAGAGAGAGAAAUUUAAAUAACAUUUAGGAUUUGAAAGUAAAAUUGAAAUAGAAUGUCAAUUUGAAUUAAGCUCUAAAAUAUGUACAUAUCGCCCGUCACUCUUUAUUAAGAUAAUCGUUUACAUAGA
rnacentral:rRNA from 1 species